rnacentral:rRNA from 1 species
UACGUAGGGGGCAAGCGUUGUCCGGAAUCAUUGGGCGUAAAGCGCGUGUAGGCGGCUCGGUAAGUCUGCUGUGAAAGUCCAGGGCUCAACCCUGGGAUGCCGGUGGAUACUGUCGAGCUCGAGUCCGGAAGAGGCGAGUGGAAUUCCUGGUGUAGCGGUGAAAUGCGCAGAUAUCAGGAGGAACACCAAUGGCGAAGGCAGCUCGCUGGGACGUGACUGACGCUGAGACGCGAAAGCCGGGGGAGCAAACAGG